CCUACGGGAGGCAGCAGUGGGGAAUCUUCCGCAAUGGGCGCAAGCCUGACGGAGCAAUGCCGCGUGAACGAAGAAGGUCUUCGGAUUGUAAAGUUCUGUCCUUAUCGAAGAGAGGGUAUAGAGUGAAAAAUGAUAUACUAGGACGGUAGAUGAGGAGGAAGCCCCGGCUAACUACGUGCCAGCAGCCGCGGUAAUACGUAGGGGGCGAGCGUUGUCCGGAAUCACUGGGCGUAAAGGGCGCGUAGGCGGUAAUAUAAGUCAGAUGUGAAAGGUGGGGGCUCAACCCCUAGAGUGCAACUGAUACUGUAUAACUUGAGUGUGAGAGAGGGAAGCGGAAUUCCUAGUGUAGCGGUGAAAUGCGUAGAUAUUAGGAGGAACACCAGUGGCGAAGGCGGCUUUCUGGCUCAUAACUGACGCUGAGGCGCGAAAGCGUGGGGA
rnacentral:rRNA from 1 species